rnacentral:rRNA from 1 species
CAGUCGCCGCGGUAAUACGUAGGUGGCAAGCGUUGUCCGGAAUUAUUGGGCGUAAAGGGCCCGCAGGCGGUUUCUUAAGUCUGAUGUGAAAGCCCCCGGCUCAACCGGGGAGGGUCAUUGGAAACUGGGAAACUCGAGUGCAGAAGAGGAGAGUGGAAUUCCACGUGUAGCGGUGAAAUGCGUAGAGAUGUGGAGGAACACCAGUGGCGAAGGCGACUCUCUGGUCUGUAACUGACGCUGAGGAGCGAAAGCGUGGGGAGCGAACAGGAUUAGAUACCCGGGUAGUCCCUGUCUCUUAUAC